rnacentral:rRNA from 1 species
UACGAAGGGGGCUAGCGUUGCUCGGAAUUACUGGGCGUAAAGGGCGCGUAGGCGGAUAGUUUAGUCAGAGGUGAAAGCCCAGGGCUCAACCUUGGAAUUGCCUUUGAUACUGGCUAUCUUGAGUACGGGAGAGGUGUGUGGAACUCCGAGUGUAGAGGUGAAAUUCGUAGAUAUUCGGAAGAACACCAGUGGCGAAGGCGACUCACUGGACACGUAUUGACGCUGAGGUGCGAAAGCGUGGGGAGCAAACAGG